UAAAACAACCACAGCCAGCGGCGGGGAGAUAAUUGGGGGUUUAGGGUUCGUGUGUGUUUUUCAAAUCAACCGAUCAAGCCGCUAUUUCAGGUGAGAUAUAGUACUUAUAUAUGUAUGUAUGUGUAUCGUAUUGUGUGGUGAUUUUGUUUAAAUCGAUGGUGGUUGGGGCUUGGGUUGCUGAUUGGUGGCCAUGGUGGCGUGGCCACCGGAGACUGGUCGCAGGGUUGUACAGAUGCUGGGAUGUUGUACAGUUGAGCAAUUGAAGUAUUUCUGCAAGCACACCAAGAAUCAUCGCACUGGAGCCAAAGAUCGGGUUCUGUAUCUCACUUAUCUCGCGAUUUGCAAGCAGCUCGAUCCCAAAGGCCCCUUUCAUCGUUAAGGAAUCAAGUAUGUGGGGAGAUCUUGAAUUGAUUCAUGUAUUCUGGCUUUUAUAUGUUAUGUUAUGGUUUUAUUAAGUGUGUUAUCAGCUUCUAGAUUAUUAAGUCUUGAGUAGUAAUGAAUGUACUAUCGCAAUGGCAGUCUUAUCAAGUUGUUUUGUCUGAAAAUCUGAACGCUUUAAAUUCUAUUUGUGAAUGUGCAUGCCAGAUUUGUGUUUUAGUUAUUAUCGAUUGAAUGCCUGGUUUGUUGAUACACAUUAUUAUGGUGGUGUUUAUAUAUUGGUUGUUUGUUAAUGUGUUCAAUUUUAAAACUGGGAUUUGUAUCUUCGAGAAGGCAAUUCCCCUCUAAAGGACUCGGCCUUUCUAAACACCGCAAACUACUUAGGCUUGAAAAGCCAGCUUCAUUUAUAUAUCCAUGAUUGUUUUCUUGAAAAGCCAGCUUCAUUUAUUUAGUUGCUCCCUCUAAAGGAUUGCUUGAAAAGCCAGGCCACCGCAGACUGGUCGCAGGUGAGAAUCGACUAUGUGUUUGUAUUAGAUUAUAAGUAGGCACAUGGGUAUUUGCAGGGGUGGGUUCUGGUGGUCCAAAUCGGGGGAAGGCGGUGGUGGUUGGUUGUUGUUGGACUUGGGUGUUUGUAAACGAGGGUGCUGCGGUGCUGCUGAGUUGAAGCAGCAUAGAUAAAUGACGACAAGCUGCAAUUGUAGGCGGGAGAGAUUGAUUUUAAACCCCUGUGACAGAGGUAUUAACCGCAGGAGUUGGUGGUUCAAUCGAGCAGUGGAAGAGGAAACAAACAGAGGUUGAUGAUGAAGUGAAUGCAUUAGCACAACUGAUGACUUGGAAAAUGGCAGUAGCUAACAUACCUUAUGGUGGAGCUAAAGGAGGCAUAGGAUGCAAUCCAGGGGAGUUGAGUAUUUCUGAGCUAGAACGACUUACUAUUUGCAAGGAACUAUCAAUGGAACUGUGGGUGUCAACAAGAUGGCUAUAGUUGAUUCACUUGCAAACCAAGAUGUGGAGAUCUCUCUUUUGGACCUCAACCCCAAAACAAGAUAUAAUUUGCAUGAAAAACUUGUUGAGCCACUAUCUCCUGCAGAACCACCAAAAGCUGAAGAACGUGCACAAGUCAUUAUAGAUAAUGUAUAUGAAAUUAUUAUAACUAGGAUUUGCACAAAUGACAGGAUUUUUUUUUAUUUUUCAUUCUUUGUUUUCUUAUGUAAUUUUAGUAAAUUGUUAUAAAGGAAAUCUUAUAUGUGAUUUUUCGUCUGA